rnacentral:rRNA from 1 species
GAUGAACGCUGGCGGCGUGCCUAAUACAUGCAAGUCGAGCGAACAGACGAGGAGCUUGCUCCUUCGACGUUAGCGGCGGACGGGUGAGUAACACGUAGGUAACCUACCUAUAAGACUGGGAUAACUUCGGGAAACCGGAGCUAAUACCGGAUAAUAUUUCGAACCGCAUGGUUCGAUAGUGAAAGAUGGCUUUGCUAUCACUUAUAGAUGGACCUGCGCCGUAUUAGCUAGUUGGUAAGGUAACGGCUUACCAAGGCAACGAUACGUAGCCGACCUGAGAGGGUGAUCGGCCACACUGGAACUGAGACACGGUCCAGACUCCUACGGGAGGCAGCAGUAGGGAAUCUUCCGCAAUGGGCGAAAGCCUGACGGAGCAACGCCGCGUGAGUGAUGAAGGUCUUCGGAUCGUAAAACUCUGUUAUUAGGGAAGAACAAACGUGUAAGUAACUGUGCACGUCUUGACGGAACCUAAUCAGAAAGCCACGGCUAACUGCGUG